CCCUCACUUUUGAAACUUAUUAAUAAAGAUUUAUUUAUAAAUCGGAGGACCUAUAUGUAAAUAUGAAAAUUUCAAGGACUAAACUGUUAAGUUGUAAAAAGAAGAAAAUAAAGAAAACCGAAAACUUCGGUUUUAUCCCACCGCCUCCCACGCUCUCUCUGUUUCUUCGAGAAACAGAGAGAAGCGGUGGGGCGUGGGGAGAAGAAGAAGAGAAGUAGAGGGAGAAGAGAAGAAGAGGGAAAAGAAGAGAGGAAGAAGAGGGAGAAGAGAAAAAAAAAGAAGAAGUAGAAGAGAGGGAAGAUGGAGAGGAGGAAGAGAGGCAGCUGCAGCAGCUAGGGCUGCAGCACCUCUGUUUUCCGCAGGUGGAAACAGAGGAGAGGAUGUGCGUGGCGUUGGGGAGGAAAAAGGGAAGAGGAGAAAGAAGAGAAGGAGAAGAAGAGGGAAAAGAGAGGGAAGACGGAGUGGAGCGAGAGGUGGCAGCAGCUAGGGCUGCAGCACCUCUGUUUCCUGCAGGUGGAAACAGAGGAGACGUGUGGGGUGACGUGUAGGAGAAGAGCAGAAGAAGAAGAAGAGGAAGAGAAGGAGAAGGGGAAGCAGGAGAAGAGGUUGUGAUACCUCUGUUCCCUGCAGAGGAAACAGAGGAGAGGGUGUGUGUGACGCCGGGAAGAAGAAGGGGAGGAAGGAGAAGAAGAAGAAGAAGAAGAGGAGGUGUGUGGCGUUGGGGAGGAAAGGGGAAGCAGGAGAAGAGGUUGUGAUACCUCUGUUCCCUGCAGAGGAAACAGAGGAGAGGGUGUGUGUGACGCCGGGAGGAAGAAGGGGAGGAAGAAGAAGAAGAAGAAGAAGAAGAGGAGGUGUGUGGCGUUGGGGAGGAAAAGGGAAGAGGAGAAGAGGAAGAGGCAAGGCUGCAGCGAGGAGGUGUGUGGCGUUGGGGAGGAAAAGAAGAAGAGGAGAAGAAGAAAAGAAAGGAAGAAGGGAAGGAGAGGAAGAAGAGAAGGGAAAGAAGGGGCUGCGGCUGCGGCGAUGGCAGCUGCAGUUGGAAGAGAAGAAGGAGAGGAAGAUGAGCAGGGGAGGAAGAAGAGGUUGUGGUCGUGGCUGUGGCCGCGACUGCAGCAGUUGCAGCUGGGAAAAAAGAGAAGGAAAGGAAGGAGAAGAGAAAGGGAAGGAGAGGAAGAAGAGAGGAAGAGGAGAAGGGGUGGCAGCAGCAGCUGGAAGAGAAGGAGAGGAAGAAGAGGCUGCGGUUGUGGUGGCUGCGGCCAUGGCUGCGACUGCGACUGCGACUGCGGCAGUUGCAGCUGGGAAAGAAAAGAAAGGAAAGGGGGGAAAAAGGGGCUGUGGACGGGAUUGCGGCCGCAGCGGCAGCGACUGCGUAUGCAGCAGUUAUGUCUGCGAGAGAAGGGAGGAAGGAAGUUAGUGCGGUGGAAGGGGCUGCGAUUGUGGCAGCGGCAGCGGCGGCGGCUGUGACAGCUGCGUUUGGGAAAGAAAAAGAAGGAAUGAGAGUAAGAGAGAGCAGGUGACUGUGCCUCGAUGUUCGACACGUGGUGUAGUUGCGAAGAAAGGAAGAAAACGGGAGCACAAAACGAAACAGAGAGAGGACACGGAGGAAAAGUAGAAGGAUUUGGGUUGGCACCUUCUUUGGAUCUUCGGGUCAAAAUUUGCAAAGGAUAGCGUAUCGCUUGCUUAAAUGUUAAGAAUGGGCUGAGGCAGUGGAAAGUUUAGAAGACGUUGGGCAGAACUUUUGUUAGCAUAUAUGUAGUUGUGUAUAAGCUACCUUGCAUCUAAUGAAAUGUGACUAUGAAUCUAAACCUGUGGAUUUUGUGUAAGUUAAAGGAUCCCUCAUGUAUAGGGUUUUGGAAUGUUAAAUUAAAUUUGUGUAAUGAUAUGAACUUAUGGUAAAUCGAUGAUUGUGGUGACUGCAUAGAUUUCCCCACUUGUGGACUUA